rnacentral:lncRNA from 1 species
AUCAUAAUGAUGACUUCUUCCAUUAUAUUGUUAUUGUCUUAAAACAUCAUUUUCAAAUACCAACUGUAAAUUAAUAUUGUAAUGCAAAAUAUAACAAUCUUUGGUGUAAACAAACUAUUUACUAUCUGUAUCAUGGUCACGUACGCGUAAUACACCAGUUCAUUCAACUAACGUUCCCGCUCUUAAUUCUACGGCCACUGAUUCUGUUACUACGUUUAAAAUAAUAAUAAUAUCUGAAAUUCGAAAUAAACACUUUUAAUAAAUAGAUUUGAGUUAUCUUUUUUAUAAUACAUGUGUCGUAUACAGGCUGUGCUGUAACUUUACAAAAAUUACAAUAACG